CGUCCUAUUAGCUAGUUGGUGAGGCAAUGGCUCACCAAGGCUACGAUGGGUAGGGGUUCUUAGUGGAAGAUCCCCCACACUGGCACUGAGAUACGGGCCAGACUCCUACGGGAGGCAGCAGUAGGGAAUAUUGGUCAAUGGGCGCAAGCCUGAACCAGCCAUGCCGCGUGCAGGAUGACAGCUCUCUGAGUUGUAAACUGCUUUUGUACAGGAGCAAAACAAUCCCUGCGGGGGUUCUUGAGAGUACUGUAAGAAUAAGCACCGGCUAAUUCCGUGCCAGCAGCCGCGGUAAUACGGAAGGUGCAAGCGUUAUCCGGUUUUAUUGGGUUUAAAGGGUGCGUAGGCGGCUUAUUAAGUCAGUUGUGAAAUCCUAGUGCUUAACGCUAGAACUGCAAUUGAUACUAUU
rnacentral:rRNA from 2 species